UAACGGCGCAUUGCCGCGCCGUCCGCCAAUUGUCCUGCCUAUGUGAUCCUCGAGGAAGCAGGGCUGGAGCCAUCUCCUGCCACGUGGCGCUCUUGACCCCCCCGAUACGUUGCCAAUGGUGAAGAGGCAAUGGAAGAGAGAAUAGUUCGAGAAGACUAGAAAUGCUACGGUAAGACAAAGAAUAGGCAACUGUAUGGCCCCUACAUCUUUAUUUUUUUUAGAGAGCAAACAUUACAUUUCUCUUCA
rnacentral:lncRNA from 1 species